AUUGAACGCUGGCGGCAGGCCUAACACAUGCAAGUCGAGCGGUAGAGAGGUGCUUGCAUCUCUUGAGAGCGGCGGACGGGUGAGUAAUGCCUGGGAAUCUGCCUAGUGGUGGGGGAUAACGUUCGGAAACGGACGCUAAUACCGCAUACGUCCUACGGGAGAAAGCGGGGGAUCUUCGGACCUCGCGCCAUUAGAUGAGCCUAGGUCGGAUUAGCUAGUUGGUGAGGUAAUGGCUCACCAAGGCGACGAUCCGUAACUGGUCUGAGAGGAUGAUCAGUCACACUGGAACUGAGACACGGUCCAGACUCCUACGGGAGGCAGCAGUGGGGAAUAAUGGACAAUGGGCGAAAGCCUGAUCCAGCCAUGCCGCGUGUGUGAAGAAGGUCUUCGGAUUGUAAAGCACUUUAAGUUGGGAGGAAGGGUCGUAACCUAAUACGUUGCGGCUUUGACGUUACCGACAGAAUAAGCACCGGCUAACUUCGUGCCAGCCGCCGCCGUAAAAC
rnacentral:rRNA from 1 species